rnacentral:rRNA from 1 species
UACGUAGGGGGCAAGCGUUGUCCGGAAUCAUUGGGCGUAAAGCGCGUGUAGGCGGCCCGGUAAUCCGCUGUAAAAGUCCAGGGCUCAACCCUGGAAAGCCGGUGGAUACUGUCGGGCUCGAGUCCGGAAGAGGCGAGUGGAAUUCCUGGUGUAGCGGUGAAAUGCGCAGAUAUCAGGAGGAACACCGAUGGCGAAGGCAGCUCGCUGGGACGGUACUGACGCUGAGACGCGAAAGCGUGGGGAGCAAACAGG